rnacentral:tRNA from 1 species
AUCUUUUUAGUAUAUUAGUACAUUUGCCUUCCAAGUAAAAAGUUUAGAGACCUAAAAAAGAUA